rnacentral:rRNA from 1 species
AUUGAACGCUGGCGGCAGGCUUAACACAUGCAAGUCGAGCGGAGAUGAGGUGCUUGCACCUUAUCUUAGCGGCGGACGGGUGAGUAAUGCUUAGGAAUCUGCCUAUUAGUGGGGGACAACAUUCCGAAAGGAAUGCUAAUACCGCAUACGUCCUACGGGAGAAAGCAGGGGAUCUUCGGACCUUGCGCUAAUAGAUGAGCCUAAGUCGGAUUAGCUAGUUGGUGGGGUAAAGGCCUACCAAGGCGACGAUCUGUAGCGGGUCUGAGAGGAUGAUCCGCCACACUGGGACUGGGAGACGGCCCAGACUCCUACGGGAGGCAGCAGUGGGGAAUAUUGGACAAUGGGGGGAACCCUGAUCCAGCCAUGCCGCGUGUGUGAAGAAGGCCUUAUGGUUGUAAAGCACUUUAAGCGAGGAGGAGGCUACUGAGACUAAUACUCUUGGAUAGUGGACGUUACUCGCAGAAUAAGCACCGGCUAACUCUGUGCCAGCCGCCGCGGUAAUAC